UUCCCCAUUCGGACAUCCUCGGAUCCACGCUCGGUUGACAGCUCCCCGAGGCAUAUCGCAGCCUCCCACGUCCUUCAUCGGCUCCUGAUGCCAAGGCAUCCACCAUGUGCCCUUAAACACUUACAAACACAAAAAACAUACUCAAACAAAAACGCUACAAAUCAGCAAUUUUGCUUAGAUGCUCGCAACCACUAUCCAAUAAACAAACACCACACCCCACCACCAAGUGAGGCGACAACACACCACCCCAAGACCCCAACAGGCCUGGGGACAACACCAGGUGUUGUCUCAGGACCCAACAG
rnacentral:misc_RNA from 1 species